GAUGAACGCUGGCGGCGUGCUUAACACAUGCAAGUCGAACGGAAUACAAGGGAGCUUGCUCCUGAACUAUUUAGUGGCGAACGGGUGAGUAUCACGUGAGCAACCUGCCCCGAAGAUUGGGAUAACACCGGGAAACCGGUGCUAAUACCGAAUACCCCUCACACAUCGCAUGAUGAGUGAAGGAAAUGUUUUUUCGCUUCGGGAGGGGCUCGCGGUCCAUCAGCUUGUUGGCGGGGUAACGGCCCACCAAGGCUACGACGGAUAGCUGGUCUGAGAGGACGAUCAGCCACACUGGGAACUGAGACACGGUCCAGACUCCUACGGGAGGCAGCAGUGGAGAAUCUUGCGUCAAUGGGCGAAAGCCUAACGCAGCAACGCCGCGUGAGGGACGAAGGC
rnacentral:rRNA from 1 species